AGUUGAAGCUCUCGUGCCCUUGGGGAGGGAGAGGAGAGGAGAGGAGAGGGGAAGAAAUGAGAAGGCUGGUCUGAAAUAAGAGUUGCUAAGUUUUACAGUUUGAGUGUUGGUGCCCAGAGGUAGCAACGGUUCUCACACUUGAGACAAUUCUCUAGAAGUAGAAGUACUGACUCAACUCCUGUACUUAAAACCGAAUUCGGAUAUUUUAUUCUAACUACUGUAUACAUGUUUGAAGAUAAAUCUUGAAAACGUGCAAAGACGGCGAACUAUGUAGUUCUAAAUUGUGGAGCUAUAGCGUUAGUUUUUCACCAUUUCAGUUUUCCAGAUUGGCAAGGCUAAAACAGCGCCUGAAAAUGCACUACGACCUCCGGCAUGAGUAACCCUCAGCAUCUUCACUCACGUCGGCGGUUAUCUGGAACAGUUAGCUAGCUAGCUAUUUCAACACCCAGAAAGUAAAUCUUUCUUUAAGAUAGUCCGCUUGUGUGGCUGCUUUAGAGUGCCUCGUUGUCAGCACUGAACCCGCAAUGUUAAUCGCAAUGUAGCGAGGGACGACGGUAUUCGGCAAUUCUUUUAACCAUUCCAAUUCGGCAGGAUUGUUAACAACUCUUUAGGGACUUUAUGUAAAAGUACAUACUUUAAAAACGCCAAUAACAGCGAACCCCCACACAUUUGUGGUUCGCCAAUCGCACACGGAUGUGCACAGUGCCAUCUGGUGGCAUCUUGGUGUUAAGGAAGUACGUUAAAGUGAGUUGAGGAGUUUCAUUUCGACAUCAGUAGAGCUUUGCCACCAUUUUGUAGCAAUUGCAUACCUUUUUCAGAAGGGCUGUUAACGAUAACAUAACCUCCAAUACCUGUUUUGAAAACCUGCACACAUGGUUUCCCUUUGGCUGACUUACGUUGCGCUCUUACUGAGAAGAAGAUAACAUCGCAAGGUAAGAGCUAGCUAGCGUUGGCUCAACUUUUAUUCUAUCAAAACAAUGUGUUCCUGCAGCUUUGCAAACAUUGUGAACAGAGUAACAAAAAAUGUUCAAUUCGAUAAUGUGAGCAACAGAAAAAAAAAAUAUACCUUUUUUUUUGUAGGUAUGUUUUUUUCAGAUUAGACGGAGAAUUGUACAAAUUUCGGUACAAAAAAAGUGACGUCAAAAUAGAUCAAAAGACUUGCGUAAGGCACAGAUUUAUGACAAAUCGACUUAAAACCUCACUGGCAGCUCCUGCUGGCUUCCCUGAGCACCUCUUUACACAACGGCAGAAAUAAACCAAGGCGAAAUGUGGACCUGAACAGUUGCACAGUACAGUAGUGCGGUGCAAGCACAUUCUAUAACAGGGCGGAGGCCUUCUCGGAGUUGCCAGCAAUGCGGUGGGCUGACUGAGGGAGGAAUGAUUAUUAUCUACUAUGGAGAACAUCAAACAGCUGCAGAGCGAUAACGCCUCCGCGCGCUCUGUCCACAUGCUUCACAGCUGCGCAUGUGUGGCUGCGACUAUUCUUAGCCAACACUGCCAAGAGCAGCGAUGUCUGACGUGCGGAUGUGAGGAGUUGGAUAAUGAAAAGGUGUGUUUUAUUCGAUUUGAUUAAAAUCUCGCACUGCGGAAAGAAAAAAACAUUGAGACUCCUAACUGCUGGGGAAGUGAUUGGUCCAUCUGAUUCCCUGCAAGUUACCAUGGCAGCAGUAUGGCGGUCGUGAUAGAAAAAUCUUAUAGCACACUGGAAUAGUAGCAACAUUGUUUGGACAAAAUGAUUAGGAUACGUGGUCAUUACACUUGAUUUAUAUACCGUAGUACGUUUCAUUAAGGGGACACAAAGUGCUUAACACGGUUAUAGAAUAGUCAGAGGUGGGUAGCAUAGCUCAAGUAAGAGUACUGUUACUUUUGAGUGAUAUGACUCAAAAGUCAAAAGCAGUGCUCCAAAUAAUUCAGUAAUAAGAGGAAGCAUGUAGAGCGGAACAAGGACGGGCCCUCUAGUGACCCUUGAGGCACACCGCAGGUGGGGCGGGGGAUAGACUAAAUUAUGGGGGCCAAUAACCACAGAAGAAGACGAUUAUAUAUAUAUAUAUAUAUAUAAACAAUGAAAACAUCUUUCACUCUUCUGAGCCAGGUUUGUGCAUGUUGCUGUUUAUGUGUGGACAUUUUUGUCAAAGGUGUUCGACCGUUUUCUUCCAUGCCAAACUCCUCCAAAAAUGUGUUUCUGGAGCUUUCUUUCCACGCUGAUUGUCAUUCUGGAACAAGAAAUGACCUUAUCCAAACUGUUCCCGUAAAUGUGUCCAAAAUGUCCAAGGUUAAGGUUCAUAUUUGAGGACUAAAGGGCUGGAUACGCAAUCCCUCAAACAUAUUUGUGCAGUACAUUUUAAUUUAAUCAUUAGGAAUAAACCCUCUGCCUCGUUUUUGGUGAACACUUCGUCCUUCUACCGCGCUACUAAAUUUUAAUGUUGGUCAUUAUGGCGGUGCUUGGGCUACUGUAAGUAUUUCACUGGGUGGCGCUUGGUGUAAAAAGUUCGAGAAGCGCUGUAGUACAUGAUCCGAACGUGCGUCUGUGUGCGGGUGCGUAUCCACAAGAGGCUCAAAGCCGCACUACAAUGGACGAAAGCCGAUCGCUGGCAUUUCGUGAGUUAGUUGAAAGCAAAAUGACAUUUCCCGCACAUAUAAUUAGCUCGGCAUGACAUUUAGCGACAGAAAGCAAAUGUCUGUCUGCAAUCGUUUCAAAAUUCAAAUGACAGCAUGUGCUCUCUUUGUGCUCUUUUGUAUGGCAUCAUGGGAGGACGAGUAAGACCUCAAAAGUGGCUCAACAGCAGGGAGGAGCUCCAAAAUCUUGUCUGGAUCAGAUGUCUCACACGCAAACGUUGCUAGUGACAACAUGCAGAUGUUCAGCGUUGGAUGACGCCAGACCUUCUCUUUGCAUCACAACUAUUUGUCUGCACACUUUGGAAAAGAACAUUUUAACGGCCUGCUGGGUUAACAAGAGGACCGCUAAGGAAGACACGCAUUACGGUUUCGAGAUUCCACCGUGACGCUUCAAAGACCAACAGCGGACAUGCUCACGUGACAAUGUGACCGCCCACGACUUGGUAAACUGCAUUCUUCGAAGCCGCCCUGCUGGGAGACAGUCGCUAAGAGGACGCCUGGCGUAUUUCAAGUGGACCCUAAAGUAAUUAGCAGGUCCCCUCCAAAUCUUGGUUUACAUUCAUCAAAGAGUAUUUUUCUUCGUUUGAGCUGGCAGCGGCCAAAACGGACGAGUCGACAAAUGUGCACACAAGGCGACGCCCGCUGGCGUUGAGAGGAACUGCAAAGCCGAACCUUGAACUCGCAUUGAUAUUUAACCAAAGGAAAAUUUGUGUUAUAUUUUACGAACUCUGCUGAAUUAUUCCACGUUUGCCUUGAUGUCUGUGUCAGUGUGUCAACUUUACAAGCGCACCCAUUUUAUGGGUCAAAAUUGUAGUAUUCUGUCUUUAGUCUUGGAUAUAUAUAUAUAUUUUUUUUCUCGUAAUAUUUUGAUUUUAUUCCUGUGAACCUUGAGGUGUUGUUUUUACAUACACCUUGGAAGCUUCGAAUAUUAUGAAACCUUCCUUCUGUGUGUGAGGUGAGCGACGCAGGAUGAACGACUUGAAAAGAUGAGCCGGAGAGCUUUUGCAAAAUAAUCGGGAGCAACGGCUGUCAACUUUCCGGGUCGCCUCGGUCGAAAACGGUUGCUGCUGCUUUGAUUGGCGGGAUGAAAUUGGAUACGUGUUACACUUUGGCCUUGAGGGCGUGAUAGCGUUGAGAGGAAAACCCAAGUGCUGCUCUCCUCAUAGCGGCGGGCCCACGCAGCACCGCCAACUAAUGACGAGGAAAUAACUGUGGUUCACUUCUUGUCAAAAACGCACAUUUGAAGAGUUAUAAAUAAAUUCCUCUUGGAAACUUAACCCCGUCCACUGACAGCGUAAAUCCAAACACAUACGGGGGGAUGAGGAGGGGGCAUGUGUUCGUUCUAAUCCAAGCCGACUAGAAAAACUGCCACAUUUGAACCUGGUUUUCCUUAUUCCCAUUUAAUAUCGUAAACCGCACAUAUAUUUCUGGUUUGCCUUGUGCUUCCCACAGGCUUUAUUGGAUCGCAAGAGGGGGAAAUUAUCUAGCAUUGAGAAAGAAACACUUCACAAUGAAGCAUGGUUUGAAAUGGUUUAUAAUGGGUUAUCAAUGAGGUAAUAAACCGUUGAAUGGCAAUUUGGGGGCUCACAGUUUGGCAAUUCAAGCUACAGCCUCAAUUUUCUCACUGGAUAUGUUUAGACUUUAGUUUUUUCUUUAUUCUCUCAGGUCUAUGAGCCUGAGUUGCUGCAAUUCAUAAGCAAACAUGAAUUACUGCCUCAGUGCAGUCUCAACACGUUUGCAUUUAAGUUUGAAGAAAUGUUUGUUUUUAAGUUUUUAUUUAAGUACAUUUUAAAUUGAACUUUUAUGUGUUACAUUUCCAUUGGAUCAUUACUUCGGCAAAGGUUUUUUUUCCUAAUUUGUUUUGCGUUUUUGUGUAUAAUAUUUUGACUUUAUUCCUGUAAAAAUAUUUUCUUAUAUUAGACUUUAUUCUCAUAAAUUAUAAAUGCUUUUCAUAGUAUUCCAUAUUUAGUCGUGGAUAUUUUUAAAAAUAUUUUUUCUUGUAAUAUUUAGAUUUUAUUCCUGUGAACAUUGAGGUGUUGUUUUUCCCUUUAAUAUCAAAACCUUUGUCACUUUUUUUUUAUACUAUGACUAUAUAUAAUUUUAAGUUUUUCACAUACAAUUUGGACUUUAUUCUUGGAAAAUUCUAUCUUUUUUUUCUUAUAAUGUUACCAUUUUAGGAAUGUAACUCCAAUUCUGUUUUGUAUUGUGUGUUCGGAUUACACUAGUAAAUAUUAGAUGAUAAAAGUUGUGUAACUGGUUUGAAUACACGAUGUAUAAUUGUCUUUGUUUAGUCGGACAUUGAAUUCCAAAUGAUAUUGGCAAUAAACUGUUUAAAGAAU